rnacentral:rRNA from 1 species
GAAUUCGCCCUUAGAGUUUGAUCCUGGCUCAGGACGAACGCUGGCGGCGUGCCUAACACAUGCAAGUCGAACGGAGGCUGUAUGUCUGAUUCUUUCGGGAAGAAGAGAUAUAGACUUAGUGGCGGAUGGGUGAGUAACGCGUGAGGAACCUGCCUUUUACAAGGGGAUAGCUUCGGGAAACCGGAAUUAAUACCCUAUGACACUUUUAGUUUGCAUGAACUAAAAGUCAAAGCGAUUAAGCGGUAAAAGAUGGUCUCGCGUCCCAUUAGCUAGUUGGUGAGAUAACAGCUCACCAAGGCAACGAUGGGUAGCCGGCUUGAGAGAGUGACCGGCCACACUGGAACUGAGACACGGUCCAGACUCCUACGGGAGGCAGCAGUGGGGAAUAUUGCACAAUGGAGGGAACUCUGAUGCAGCGACGCCGCGUGAGCGAUGAAGGCCUUCGGGUCGUAAAGCUCUGUCCUAUGGGACGAUAAUGACGGUACCAUAGGAGGAAGCCCCGGCUAACUACGUGCCAGCAGCCGCGGUAAUACGUAGGGGGCAAGCGUUGUCCGGAAUUAUUGGGCGUAAAGGGUACGCAGGCGGCCAUGUAAGUCAGCGGUGAAAUUUUGCAGCUUAACUGUAACAGUGCCGUUGAUACUGUUUGGCUAGGAUUUGGUUGUAGUGUGCGGAAUGUGUGGUGUAGCGGUGAAAUGCUUAGAUAUCACACAGAACACCGAUUGCGAAGGCAGCACACUAAGUCAUUAUUGACGCUGAGGCACGAAAGUGUGGGGAUCAAACAGGAUUAGAUACCCUGGUAGUCCACACUGUAAACGAUGAUAACUCGCUGUCGGCGAUACACAGUCGGUGGCCAAGCGAAAGCAUUAAGUUAUCCACCUGGGGAGUACGACCGCAAGGUUGAAACUCAAAGGAAUUGACGGGGGCCCGCACAAGCGGAGGAACAUGUGGUUUAAUUCGAUGAUACGCGAGGAACCUUACCCGGGCUCGAACGGUGCAUGAAUAUACGAGAGAUUGUAUAGUCCUUCGGGACAUGUAUCGAGGUGCUGCAUGGUUGUCGUCAGCUCGUGCCGUGAGGUGUCGGCUUAAGUGCCAUAACGAGCGCAACCCUUGUCAUUAGUUGCCAUCAGGUCAAGCUGGGGACUUUAAUGAGACUGCCACCGUAAGGUGUGAGGAAGGGGGGGAGGACGUCAAAUCAGCACGGCCCUUAUGUCCGGGGCGACACACGUGUUACAAUGGGAGGUACAGAGGGCAGCUAUCCGGUGACGGAAUGCUAAUCUCCAAAACCUUUCUCAGUUCGGAUUGGAGUCUGCAACUCGACUCCAUGAAGGUGGAUUCGCUAGUAAUCGCGCAUCAGCCAUGGCGCGGUGAAUACGUUCCCGGGCCUUGUACUCACCGCCCGUCA